rnacentral:rRNA from 1 species
UACGUAGGGUGCAAGCAUUAAUCGGAUUUAUUGGGCGUAAAGGGCGCGUAGGCGGGAUUGUAAGUCAGAUGUGAAAUCCCGGAGCUCAACUCCGGAACUGCAUUUGAAACUACAAUUCUAGAGGGUAGGCGGAGAAAAUGGAAUUCCACAAGUAGCGGUGAAAUGCGUAGAUAUGUGGAAGAACACCGGUGGCGAAAGCGGUUUUCUAGCUUAUACCUGACGCUGAGGCGCGAAAGCAAGGGGAUCAAACAGG